CCGAGAUAACACAGAAAUCUUUGGCCAGUGUCUUUCGUUUUAAAUAAUGUUUUUGUUCUGAUGUGUUACUCGCUUAUUUAGCUGCUGCUGAUAUGUUUAGAUCGUGUUUUUUUUUAUUUUAGCAACGUCAAUUUGUUACCUGUUACCGUUGGAAGGGAGGAAAGGAAGGGAUACAAUGAUAAAGGUCAAGAAAGGAUGAAGCUGACCAAUUUGAGUGCCGAACAAGAAA